UACGUAGGGGCCUAGCGUUGUCCGGAAUUAUUGGGCGUAAAGAGCUCGUAGGCGGUUCGGCAAGUCGGAUGUGAAAUCUCCACGCUUAACGUGGAGGGGCCAUUCGAAACUGCUGUGACUCGAGUCCGGUAGGGGAGUGUGGAAUUCCCGGUGUAGCGGUGAAAUGCGCAGAUAUCAGGAGGAACACCGGUGGCGAAGGCGGGUCUCUGGGCAAUAACUGACGCUGAGGAGCGAAAGCGUGGGGAGCGAACAGG
rnacentral:rRNA from 1 species